rnacentral:rRNA from 1 species
AUUAGUGGCGAACGGGUGAGUAACACGUGGGCAAUCUGCCCUUCACUCUGGGACAAGCCCUGGAAACGGGGUCUAAUACCGGAUAACACUCUGUCCCGCAUGGGACGGGGUUAAAAGCUCCGGCGGUGAAGGAUGAGCCCGCGGCCUAUCAGCUUGUUGGUGGGGUAAUGGCCUACCAAGGCGACGACGGGUAGCCGGCCUGAGAGGGCGACCGGCCACACUGGGACUGAGACACGGCCCAGACUCCUACGGGAGGCAGCAGUGGGGAAUAUUGCACAAUGGGCGAAAGCCUGAUGCAGCGACGCCGCGUGAGGGAUGACGGCCUUCGGGUUGUAAACCUCUUUCAGCAGGGAAGAAGCGAAAGUGACGGUACCUGCAGAAGAAGCGCCGGCUAACUACGUGCCAGCAGCCGCGGUAAUACGUAGGGCGCAAGCGUUGUCCGGAAUUAUUGGGCGUAAAGAGCUCGUAGGCGGCUUGUCACGUCGGAUGUGAAAGCCCGGGGCUUAACCCCGGGUCUGCAUUCGAUACGGGCUAGCUAGAGUGUGGUAGGGGAGAUCGGAAUUCCUGGUGUAGCGGUGAAAUGCGCAGAUAUCAGGAGGAACACCGGUGGCGAAGGCGGAUCUCUGGGCCAUUACUGACGCUGAGGAGCGAAAGCGUGGGGAGCGAACAGGAUUAGAUACCCUGGUAGUCCACGCCGUAAACGUUGGGAACUAGGUGUUGGCGACAUUCCACGUCGUCG